GAAUCUGCCCUCAGGAGGGGGAUAACGGUUGGAAACGACCGCUAAUACCCCAUAUGCCUAUUGGUGAAAUGAAUUUCGCCUGAGGAUGAGCUCGCGUCUGAUUAGCUUGUUGGUGAGGUAAUGGCUCACCAAGGCUUCGAUCAGUAGCUGGUCUGAGAGGAUGAUCAGCCACACUGGGACUGAGACACGGCCCAGACUCCUACGGGAGGCAGCAGUGGGGAAUUUUCCGCAAUGGGCGAAAGCCUGACGGAGCAACGCCGCGUGAGGGACGAAGGCCUCUGGGCUGUAAACCUCUUUUCUCAAGGAAGAAGAUAUGACGGUACUUGAGGAAUAAGCCACGGCUAAUUCCGUGCCAGCAGCCGCGGUAAUACGGGAGUGGCAAGCGUUAUCCGGAAUUAUUGGGCGUAAAGCGUCCGCAGGCGGCUUUUCAAGUCUGCUGUUAAAGCGUGGAGCUUAACUCCAUCAUGGCAGUGGAAACUGAAAGGCUUGAGUAUGGUAGGGGCAGAGGGAAUUCCCGGUGUAGCGGUGAAAUGCGUAGAUAUCGGGAAGAACACCAGUGGCGAAGGCGCUCUGCUGGGCCAUUACUGACGCUCAUGGACGAAAGCCAGGGGAGCGAAAGGGAUUAGAUACCCCUGUAGUCCUGGCCGUAAACGAUGAACACUAGGUGUCGGGGGAAUCGACCCCUUCGGUGUCGUAGCUAACGCGUUAAGUGUUCCGCCUGGGGAGUACGCACGCAAGUGUGAAACUCAAAGGAAUUGACGGGGGCCCGCACAAGCGGUGGAGUAUGUGGUUUAAUUCGAUGCAACGCGAAGAACCUUACCAGGGCUUGACAUCCUGCGAAUCUCUGGGAAACCGGAGAGUGCCUUCGGGAACGCAGUGACAGGUGGUGCAUGGCUGUCGUCAGCUCGUGUCGCGAGAUGUUGGGUUAAGUCCCGCAACGAGCGCAACCCACGUCUUUAGUUGCCAGCAUUUAGUUGGGCACUCUAGAGAGACCGCCGGUGACAAACCGGAGGAAGGUGUGGAUGACGUCAAGUCAUCAUGCCCCUUACGUCCUGGGCUACACACGUACUACAAUGCUACGGACAAAGAGCAGCUAACUCGCGAGAGUACGCAAAUCUCAUAAAACCGUGGCUCAGUUCAGAUCGUAG
rnacentral:rRNA from 1 species